CACCCCCCGCCCGACUCCCUCCCCGGCGACGCGCCACCGACCGGCCUCCUCCCCAGCGCGCCACCGCUGGCUCCCUCCCGGCGACGCGCCGCCGCCCGGCCUCCUCCCCAGUGCGCCACCACCCAGCUCCUCCCGGCGACGCGCCUCCAGACUCCCUCUUUCCCUGCCAAUGUACACUGCAUGACCCGAGUGCCCGGCUGCCGCAUACGAGGUUGUGCACCGGCCCAACCAUCUCCGUCUGGAUCCCCCGCCUCCCACCGUGGCUCCUCGCCGCCACCAUGGGAUCCCAGCCGACAGCCUCCCCCCGAGCACCCCGUGCGCGACUGCCUUGCUUCCAUCACCGGUCUUCGCCCCUCCACCAUGCCUCCUCCCACAACCCCGAUCCAGUUCCAGCGACCUCCACUGGGAAGCACGUUGGUCUCGCCUUGGUCACAUCGGCAGUCCAACUGGUCGAUCCGUGGCCGGUCGCUCAAAGUGCUGCGUAUAGGCCACCCCGUGCUCCACCCAUGGGCCUGGCUCAGCUUUUUUCCUCCCAUGCUAUCUCUCAUCUGCCUACUUGUCCUGCUCUGUUCCAUCUCCUGAACUGUUGAUUAUGCAUCAACUCUCGCAUUAUGUGGUGUUCUUGCUCCCUCUCUCGUAGCUACAAAAUUCAUAAACUGCCAAUUUAUUUUGAAUUGAACUGAUGUUGCUCUUGAAUCAGACCUUCAACGAUCCGGUAGCCGGCGUUUGUCCUACUCCAUCGCCUUCGGUCUUUUUCUAGUUUGAGACAGUGAGAGCCGCCUAGGACGACUGCCGGGGACCAAGCUGCACCAUCGAGAGCCUCGACAACCCAACAAGAUGAACCGUACACGCGAGGAACCUCCUGAGCGUAGAAACUCCUCCAUCCAAGUCAAGCGCUGGGCGCCGUCCAGGUCGAGCACUGGGUGCUGUCCAAGUUAAGUCAUCCAACAGCGGGAGAGCGAGCUUUGCUCCGGGGCAGCCCAUCCUAGACGUGCAGCUGCUCUGCUCUCCACAUGAAUUUAGAUUGGAUUGGGUUGUAGUGCAUGUCAGGCUCUAUUGAUCUCUGUCCACGAGUGGUGCUACCUCGAGUCCGGUCGACGGCGUCCACGAGCGCGAGCAGCCCGUAUCCGGCGGCAAGAUGAAGGUUACCCAUGAACCAUGCUUCCCCUAAUCACCUCCACCUUGUGUGAAUUCGUAGCAGAGAAUAAGCACAAGCACCUACAGUCCCCCGGUGGCUUUGGCCGCACUUGGCCACUAGCUCGUCCAUCAUGGUGACUAGCAGCCGUCCAAGUGGAACGCGGACAUCAGUCCAAGGAGAGCUAGUUCGUAUAAACUGACUGUUAUGUAUAAUUAGGGGAUCCAAUGUUGAAAAGUUCAAUUAAGCUGUGUGUGCAAAUUCAAAGAAUUAUUGUAGGAAAGUUUAGAAGUUUGGUUUCGUGAGGAAAUGUAUGAUUUUCUAUCAGUAUUUGGUAUGAUUCAUUUGCCUCGGGUGCAACCCAAAACUAGACAAAAAUGUCAGAUGAUGAAAGGAAAAAUGGUUUGAAUUAAAAAUA